GUGCAUAUAGCUCAGUGGUAGAGCAUCUGCUUAGCAUGCAGGAGGUCCUAGGUUCAAUCCCCAGCACC
rnacentral:tRNA from 1 species